UAUGUAAAAGGCAUCAUAAAUGAAUGGGAUGGUGCUUUGCCUAAUAGAUCUUGGGCUGAAAUAAUUUGAAAUAAGUACAGCCAUAAUGGGGCUUUGGACUCUGCUGGCAGACAGCAACCCAUGAGCAUAUAUCAGCCUCUGCUAGAAGAUGGGCAGCCCAGCAGGACCAUGAUCAUCCCCAGAUCCAUCAGAGCAGAUCCUCUUCCUCCUGUUGGAGAAGAAGAAGCAGAGGCAAAGGGCAGUGAGAUGGAGAUCGGGGUGGAAGAAGGGAAGAAGCACUGCACAUGCAUUUGGAUCAGAGCCGUCAUAACAGGAGCAACCGUGCCAUGUUUUUAUUACACCAUUGAAGCAAGAUCACUUGAUCCCUCUGCCACAGCUUAGAUAGAUUUAAUUUCUUUGUUGCUCUGCUCUAUCCGAUAUUUCCUGUAAUGCUCAGAAGGAGAGUACUAGAGUUGCUUCUAUAGCAGUGUUGUUUGAUGACUUGGCCUUAGUUCUAGCAAUAGCAAGUUGAAGUCUGCAUUUCUAAUUCUGAAAAAAAGUUGGCUGGAUUUUCAAAGGAUUCUCCAAAGUGACAGACCGAAGUUCCCAAUGUGCUUUUUUCUUUGUCUGUGUUUUACCUAAAUUCACCUUCAUUUUUUACACUCUGUUUUCCACAAAUGGAGAUUUUAGGUCAGAAAGCUGCUUCCAAAUUUUCUUCAUAAAGUACAAAAAGCACCUGUAAAAUGGAAAACCCUUCAGUGAGCUUUGGACUGAACCCUGGCGACUGGCAUCUUGGAAGAACGAGGCUCUGCCUCGACCUGGUCGACCUAGUCUGUGUUGCCAGCACUACACUGUCUUACUCCCGACUCUUUCUAAAUACUGCUGAGGACCUCAGCCAAGGUGGGAGAGGCAGUCCCCUGGCUCUUCCCUGACACAAAAUACCUUUGUCACACAGUUUGAGCUACAUGUACCCAGAGCAAGGACACUCUGUGUCUAAAUACGUGGGUCUGUAGGAGCAUGGAACAGGACAAGGUUGCCAUGUGGGAGAACCUUCCCACUUGUGUAGGAGACUGCAUGCCUCUUGAAUUGGGAAGUGCAGACUUCCUUAAGACAUAACUCCUGAAGGCCCCUUCCAGGUUCUCACAGGUGAGAUGUCUGUGCUAAAAUCUGUGGAUGCAUGCUCACUUAUUCCAAAUCUGCUUACUUGGUGAAUGCCACUCCAAAUAAUAGCUUAAACUGGCAAAAAGAAAAUGCUGUCAGUCUCUGAGGGAGAGCUUUUCACCUUGUGCAUGGCCUGCCCUGAGAUGCCUUCUUGCUUCUGGUCCUGCACUGUAUCUAUUACCAGAGCCAUAUGGUACAGAGCAGCACUGCAGGAGAAUGAGACUACUCUGCAGCUCAGUUUCCUGAGCCAUCACCUCUACUUAUGGAGACAUGGCUUGGCUUGCAAAGGAAAGUGUCUCCGUAAGAGUUCUGAAGGCAUGAUGAAGAUGUGCAUUGGCAAUCAGAAUUUUCAUUUGGUAGGGUGCCAGUACCUAGUAUUUUGGUUUGCAAAGCACUGGACUGGGUAGCAUGACCUUGCUGAUGUGUAAACUUACCCUCCUUAUGCCAACACUGAGGGUUUGCUAGUCUGCCUGCUCUUGGCUUUCGUAGACAUGCAGCUACUCUUGCAUGCCUGGCAAAAGGCUGUGAGCUAUUUCCAUGAUGCAGUGACAAAUGGUCUUCUCUUUAUGAGUUAUUAAGCAGAGUUAUACUAAUUUAUUACAACUUCCAGUGGGCAAGCUUCAGAAUGCCAGGCAGCACAGAGGAUUGCUUGAGCCCUUUUGAUGUGGAAUAAUUUCUGAAUGAGGAAUGGUGUUCCAAGGUGCCCUUGUGAGAUCCCUGGGUGAUCUCCACUUAUGAGAGGAGAAAUAGAUGUAAAAUAUGCUGUGGCUGGCAUUUGUAUAGGUGGUAGUUAAACACAUGGAAAAAAAUUCUUCUUGUCCCCAAACACCUGCCAGCUGGACAAAACAGGCAAAGAAUGAUGAGGGUUCUUGUGGUGCUCUGAUUUGGAGCCUUGCGAAGGCUGGCCAGAAAGUUUCCCCCCUUGCAAUCCAAGCUGUAUACCUUAUCCAAGCUGUUCAACCUGCACAGAUGUAGCAACAGCUUAAAAUGAACUCAGUGAAACAGGCAACACUAAUUACAGCAAGUAAAAACUCUAUUCCUUGUUAAUUUCAAAAUGCAAACCCAGAACUCUUUUGAGGAAGAGAGUAGGGCGAGGUCCACACAGUUAUUUCACUAAAGCCUCUGGGCCCUAGCCAUUUUGGCCCUGCUGAGAGUCUGGCCCUAGUAAAACUCUCAGGUUGCAAUGGAGCAAGCCUCAGAGAUCUGGUGGAAUUGCAAAGCAUGCAUGUGUGUCAUUCCCCGGAAACUGUUAGGCACACACAUAUGCUUAAUUAGACUUACACACCUUUGAAUUAUUUGCUAUAAUGAUUAGCUCCCUACUA